UACGAAGGGGGGCUAGCGUUGUUCGGAAUUACUGGGCGUAAAGCGCACGUAGGCGGAUAUUUAAGUCAGGGGUGAAAUCCCAGAGCUCAACUCUGGAACUGCCUUUGAUACUGGGUAUCUUGAGUAUGGAAGAGGUAAGUGGAAUUGCGAGUGUAGAGGUGAAAUUCGUAGAUAUUCGCAGGAACACCAGUGGCGAAGGCGGCUUACUGGUCCAUAACUGACGCUGAGGUGCGAAAGC
rnacentral:rRNA from 1 species